GACGAACGCUGGCGGCGUGCUUAACACAUGCAAGUCGAACGGUGAAGCUCCAGCUUGCUGGAGUGGAUCAGUGGCGAACGGGUGAGUAACACGUGAGCAACCUGCCCCUGACUCUGGAAUAAGCGCUGGAAACGGCGUCUAAUACUGGAUACGAGAAGGGUCCGCAUGGGCACUUUCUGGAAAGUUUUUCGGUUGGGGAUGGGCUCGCGGCCUAUCAGCUUGUUGGUGAGGUAAUGGCUCACCAAGGCGACGACGGGUAGCCGGCCUGUGAGGGCGACCGGCCACACUGGGACUGAGACACGGCCCAGACUCCUACGGGAGGCAGCAGUGGGGAAUAUUGCACAAUGGGCGAAAGCCUGAUGCAGCGACGCCGCGUGAGGGAUGACGGCCUUCGGGUUGUAAACCUCUUUCAGCAGGGAAGAAGCGAAAGUGACGGUACCUGCAGAAGAAGCACCGGCUAACUACGUG
rnacentral:rRNA from 1 species